AGAAUCAACGCUGGCGGCGCGCUUAACACAUGCAAGUCGAACGAGAAAGUGGAGCAAUCCAUGAGUAAAGUGGCGUACGGGUGAGUAACACGUGGGUAAUCUACCUUUUUGGUGGGGAAUAACCCUGGGAAACCGGGGCUAAUACCGCAUAAGCUCGCCAUUUAAGAUGGUGAGGAAAGGAGCAAUUCGCCGAAAGAGGAGCCCGCGGCUGAUUAGCUAGUUGGUAGGGUAAAAGCCUACCAAGGCUAUGAUCGGUA
rnacentral:rRNA from 1 species